rnacentral:tRNA from 1 species
GAUAGCUCAGUUGGUUAGAGCGUGGUGCUGAUAACGCCAAGGUUGCAGGAUCGAUCCCUGUGAGGUACA